CCUACGGGGGGCUGCAGUGAGGAAUAUUGGUCAAUGGGCGAGAGCCUGAACCAGCCAAGCCGCGUGAGGGAGUACUGCCCUAUGGGUUGUAAACCUCUUUUGUCGGGGAGCAAAAGCCGGACGUGUCCGGCUGUGAGAGUACCCGAAGAAAAAGCCUCGGCGAACUCCGUGCCAGCAGCCGCGGUAAUACGGAGGAUGCGAGCGUUAUCCGGAUUUAUUGGGUUUAAAGGGGGCGCAGGCGGAUUUUUAAGUCAGCGGUAAAAUCGUGGGGCUCAACCCCGUCCAGCCGUUGAAACUGGGGAUCUAGAGUGUGCGAGAGGUAUGCGGAAUGCGUGGUGUAGCGGUGAAAUGCAUAGAUAUCACGCAGAACCCCGAUUGCGAAGGCAGCAUACCGGUGCACAACUGACGCUCAGGCACGAAAGCGUGGGUAUCGAACAGGAUUAGAUACCCUAGUAGUC
rnacentral:rRNA from 1 species